CCAAAAGCAAAAGGAUAUACAUUCUUUUCAAGUGCACAUGGAGCAUUCUCUAGAAUACAUCAUCUGUUAGGCCAGAAAACAAGUCUCAAUUAAUUUAA